UGUUUUGCCUUUCUCGUACAACAAAGUUGUACCGAAAAGGCUAUCAUUUCACUCCGAAAACGACCUUUUUAUCGAGGACUCGUAGACCCUAGUGUUAUAUACCAAUCGACUCAGCUCGACGAACUGAGCAAAUGUCUGUCUGUCCGUGUGUGUGUCCGUGUGUGUGUGUGUGCGUAUGUGUGUGCACACUAAAACAUUAGCCAAAUUUUCUAGUACUAAACCUUAAUCGAUUUUACCGCAGCAAGUUGCAUUCGAUGGAGAAUGUUUUCUUUUUGUUCACUAUUGAAUUUCAAAACGGUUGAACUUCGCAAAAAAUAGUAAAUAUUCAAAUAGUUAUCACUAGGGAUCCUACAUUCAGAGAUAUGCGAAAGCGGCCAUCUUGAGCCAAUCGAGCAUUGAGAGCUGUCAGAAUCUGAGCCAAAUGAACAUUGUUAUUGUUGCGGAUUGAAAGGUAUUGCGAUUGUAGUGAAAAAGAUUUUACGAAAAGUUUUGUCGAAUAAACAAUUUGUUUCACAUUGGCAACAUGAAGUAGUCUAGUUUAUGCAUGGUACUUUGUUCAUUUGUAUUGCACUUUUAUUUUAGUGAUAAUGCACUGUUGGACGUUAGAUAAAGAAAUCUGAAAAUGCCAUUAUAUGCAGAGUCAUGUUCGAGCUCCAACAUUUUGCGCCACGGCAAGUGCUGGCAGCGUUUGUUUACGAAAGUAACAGCGUUGCUAAAUCGUCUGGAAAAGUAUUCGCACAUCUCUUAAUAUAGGAUCCCUAGUUAUCACAUAUGAUUAUUUCGGUAUGAAAUGCUCUCGGAUGACAAGGUUAUGUUCUCCCAAGACACAAUUCGAAACUGACAGCAUUCAGUUUUAUAACAACCCAGAGUAACAAAAAGUUAGAGUUCUUCUCGUUCGACAUCGGUGCCGGCCGGCAUCGAUUGCUGUUGUGAAAAAAAUGGAGACUGAAUCAUUUCGAAUUGGUAUUGAGCUGUUUUGAGGUUUUCAGCAAAUGAAAAUCCCACCGAAGCUGAAAUUCGAUCGUUUGGGUGUGCGGCAUUUCAACAUCGGUGAAUAACGUGCUACAAUCGGCAAAUGAAUCCGGAUGACGAACUCUGGAUUACCCUGGCUUCGGAGUAAAAUCUCUGAAAAUCAAAUAUGUGUUUGAGCCAUUGGAACCGGAAUGUUGUUUCCAUCGCCCACCGGGAAAAGAUUACAGGUAGCUGGCAGCAAUACGGUACCGUAUCACAUCUGGCUGUACGGAACAUCCAAGGACUAAUCAUUCAAUGCCAGUCAGAAUCCCGAAAGCGAAUGCAGGUAACCAGCGUAUGUUCAAAUUACCCUAUCGACGCUGAAAAACACCGACGCUGAAAUUUGAGCGUUUGCCUGUUUGGCGUUUUAACACCGGCGAAUAACACACUCUUGUUUCGUAUCGUCGUAGUGGAGGAGUUCCUUCCGGCUGAUCGGAAUAUCCAAGGAUUAAUCACGAUUUGCACCAUGUAGGCAAUUCCAGCCGGAAUCCCGAAAGAGAAUGCAGGUACCCUGCAGCGUAGAACAACAAUAAUCGGCGUAUAACACCUGCAGAGCCACCGGAAACAAAAUAUUAUUUUCAUUGCCAGGCAGGAUUCUGGUACCAUAUCGCAUCCGGCUAUUCGGAAUAUUUAAGGAUUAAUCAUGAUUUGCACCAUGUAAGCACUGCUAGUCGGUAUUCCGGAAGAGAACGCUGGUGCCCAGCAGACUAAAUGAUCUAAUCGACGACAAUCAAAUGAAAAUAAUACCACCGAAGUCGAAAUUCGAGCGUUUGGCUGUUCGGCGUUUUAACACCGGUAACAGAACAACAAUAAGCGACGAAUAACGUAUCGAAGCGAAUUCCUUGUAAGAAAACGCAUAUGUGUAUUAGCCACCGGAAGCAUGAUGUCGUUUCUAUCGCCUACAACGGAAUAGAUGAAAAGAAGCUGUCAGCAAUUCGGUAUAGCAUCCGGCUGUAAGGAAUAUCAGGAUUAAUUUUGUCUUCAGGAUUUGCACCCCAUAAUCAAUGUCAAUGAAUCAUUGGCAGUGGCUGAUUUUCUACCCGUCGCUGCCACAUCCAGGCAUUAUCGUAUAUGCGCAAAUAGUUAGCAUGAAUU